rnacentral:rRNA from 1 species
AUGGGUCUAAGCCAUGCGAGUCAGGUGUAGCAAUACGCCGGCAUAAUGCUCAGUAACACGUCAAUAAUCUGCCCUUAGGUCUAGGAUAACCUCGGGAAACUGAGGCUAAAACUGGAUAUGAGAAAGACAAUGGAAUAUUUUUUCUCAUAAAAGCAAUGCCUAAGGAUGAGUUGGCGGCUGAUUAGGUAGUUGGUGAGGUAAAGGCUCACCAAGCCGAAGAUCAGUAGGGGUCUUGAAAGAGAUAGCCUCGAGAAGGGCACUGAGACACUGGCCCUAGCCCUACGGGGUGCAGCAGGCGCGAAAACUUUACAAUGCACGAAAGUGUGAUAAGGGGAUCCUAAGUGCCUUACUUACGUAAGGCUUUUGCCAAUUCUAAAUCGAUUGGCGAAUAAGUGGUGGGCAAGACUGGUGCCAGCCGCCGCGGUAACACCAGCUCCACGAGUGGGGACCGUUUAUUUGGCCUAAAGCGUCCGUAGCCGGUUUUAUAAAUCUUCUGUGAAAUCAUUAAGCUAAACUUAAUGGCGUGCAGGAGAGACUGUAAAACUUGGAACCGGGAGGGGUUAGAAGUAUUUCUGGGGGAGCGGUAAAAUGCUAUAAUCCAAGAAGGACCACCGAUGGCGAAGGCAUCUGACUAGAACGGAUCCGACUGUGAGGGACGAAAGCCAGGGGAGCGAACCGGAUUAGAUACCCGAGUAGUCCUGGCUGUAAACGCUGCGAGCUAGGUGUUGCGCAAUCUUAGGGAUUGCGCAGUAUCGAAGCGAAGGCGAUAAGCUCGCCGCCUGGGAAGUACGGUCGCAAGGCUGAAACUUAAAGGAAUUGGCGGGGGAGCACUACAAGGGGUGCGGCGUGCGGUUUAAUCUAACUCUACACAGAGAAUCUCACCAGCAGCGACGGCAGGAUGAAAGUCAGAUUGAAGGUUUUACUUGACGAGCCGAGAGGUGGUGCAUGGCCAGCCACAUU